UUCAAAUCAAUCUUUGGGGAUGUUAAGGCAAAGCAUGCAAGGGAUAUGAUGAUGUAUUUGGGAACUACCUGUCUUCCUCAGCACAAGGAAUCAAGAGAGAAAUAAAAAUGAGAGAGUCUUAUUGGUGAAAACCCUCACGGGCACCGUAAGACGAUGGUAAGUUGAGAGAAAUAAAAAUGAGAGAGUCUUCUUGGUGAAAACCCUUACGGGCACCAUAAGACGAUGGUGAGCUGAGAGAAAAAUAAGAGAGGUUUGUUGGCAAAAACUCUUCAAGGUGCCACUAGCCGAAUGAGGUCUCCGAAUGUAAUUG
rnacentral:lncRNA from 1 species